AGCGAACGCUGGCGGCAGGCCUAACACAUGCAAGUCGAACGCACCUUCGGGUGAGUGGCGGACGGGUGAGUAACACGUGGGAACGUACCUUUAGGUUCGGAAUAACGCAGGGAAACUUGCGCUAAUACCGAAUGUGCCCUUCGGGGAAAGGAUUAUCGCCUUUAGAGCGGCCCGCGUUAGAUUAGCUAGUUGGUGGGGUAAUGGCCCACCAAGGCUACGAUCUAUAGCUGGUCUGAGAGGAUGAUCAGCCACACUGGGACUGAGACACGGCCCAGACUCCUACGGGAGGCAGCAGUGGGGAAUCUUGCGCAAUGGGCGGAAAGCCUGACGCAGCCAUGCCGCGUGAAUGAUGAAGGUCUUAGGAUU
rnacentral:rRNA from 1 species